GCCGGGCGGGCCGGGCCCCGAGGGGAAGGAGCCCGCGGUCCCCGGGGACGCGCCCGGCUCGGCCGGAGCCUGCCCGCCGCCGCACCGCCGGCGGGCCGCUUGCGGUGACAGAACAAAGGCCUGGGUGUGGUGCCUGCCCGCGCCAGUUGUGCUGAAGUGUGGGGGUUGCCCCCGAACGCACCGAGGAUGAAUGCGUGAGGUAGAAAUCACUCAGCUGUGAUCAUCGGAUUGGAACUGAAAGAAAUAUACGGGUUCUCACUAACAAUUUUUUUUUUUUUAAAGAAGAAAAACAACAGUAAAGAAAAUCAAAGGGAAAAAAAGGAAAUAAAUGAGGGGACCGUGGCUGGAUAAGUCCCGUUCCAGAGCAGUGACCGCUUUCCUUCGGCCGAGAGAGCCCCUCGCUCUCAGGCCCGGGGGAACGAGGGGUCUGAGCGGCUGCUGGGGUCUGAACAACUCCAAAACUCAGACAGAGGAGAUAACUCACCUGCCAGCUAGCUAAGGGCUUCCUAUCCUGCCCACUCUGAAAGCAGCAGAGGUGACAGUUGACUGGUUAAGUACCAAAGGAUAAGUUUGCUCUUGGAGUACAUGUGAGCCAAACAGCUGGACCUACACCUCCCUCCCUGUGUUUGUAUAGAAAUUUUGAAGAGUAUUUUCAUGGGGAAAAAGAAAUGGGAAAAAAAGAAAAAAGAAAUUAAAUGUGUCCAAGGAGUGAAGAGGUAACUACAGGCAGUGACUACAGAAGAGCCCUGCAGGACUGAUGUGAUGAAACUGUGCCUGCUGACCCAUGGAAGACCAGCUGAAAUGCCUGAACUCCGCUUCCCAGUUUUGCUCAAGCAAGAAGGGAAAUGUAGACAGCAAGGAAAUUACCUGAGUCCCAGCUGUCUACAGACUACUUCAGCAUCCCGGUCGUCCCACUGAUCAUCACAGAUGGUUCCCCACUUGCCAUCAUGGUAAACCUCCACUCGCCCUUCAAAGCUCUCCUUCCCCCCAACUAUACGAAGUGGGGCACCUACACCUGUGCUUCAAGAAAGGGAAAGAGAGCACAACAGAACAAGACAGAGACAAAGCACAUCCAGCAGUUUAGGGUGUAGAACCAUUCUCUAACUAGAGGAGCUCUUGUGAUGCUCUCUUGUAACAUCCUCCCUUCUAGACCCCCACAAAAACCCAUGACUGCAGCCCCCAGAGUGGGGUACUGCUGGUCCAGAGCUGUCUCCUUAAUUGGCUGCUGUAGUGACCAGGAGUUUUCUGCCUGCAGACAAAAACCUGGCUUGAUAAAAAGGGGAUGUGGUCAUAAGCAUCAGCCGUCUUUGGGAGAUUGAGAUCUUUCCCUGGAGAUUUACCUUCUGGAGGAACACAAGUUACCACAGCACUCCCCUGGUUACAAGGUCCUGACAGAGCUUCCUGAUAGCCACACUGCAGCAGGGCUUCCUCAUCUCCAUGGCAGUUUGCUGACUGCAGGUGCAGGGGAACAGGCCAUGGUCCAGAAUGACUCUUCUUCCCAGCUGUGCCGAUCUCACUGGUACAGAGGAUGCAACAGAGCAAUGAAAUGCCACAGCAUGGCUUGAUUUACAAGUUCCCUCCACUGUUGUGACUCUCCAGUCCAGUUGUGGCAUUUCACAUCCUGGUGUGCCCAGUUAAUUGAAGUGCAUAAAGGAGUGCCCAUUUACAAUCUAAUGGGAGAGCACAAGCAAGCACACAGCACUUCCUAAUCCUUUUAUGUGCCCACCUACAGCAGAGGAGUUGGUGUAGUCAGAAAUGGCACUCUUGUUUGAAAGCAAUGAACAAACCCAUCAAUAGACUCAAACACCAAACUAUCUGAAUCACCUUCCCUCUCUGUGGACCUUAUCUCCUUGCUGUUUGGAAGUUUGAAUGUCCAAAUCCCAGAUACCCAAAGAGAGUUCAUACUCCUAAAAUUUCUGUUAGAGCACUAAAGUAACUCCAGCUGAUGAUCAUAAAAAGGGAAUGUGAUCUCACGUCUCACUUUUCACAGCCUGGAGCAUGAAGCAAAAACUAUUGCUUGAAAAAAUUCUUGCAAAUGCUGAUUGGGUUGGGGAUAGCCACAGAAAGAAAACAGUACAAAAGGACCCUGGUAAGUGGGAAAUCACACCACAAAACAAACUCCUUUCUGCCAGCAAACACACUGUGCCAGAGGGACUGUAACCACAGAGGCUGCUCUUUCAAAAGUCACAUGAGUAUGUACCUCUGACAACCAGACUGAGGUUCCCACCUGAGACCUAGUUGCCUGCAGACAACACUGGCAUCCCAGUCAGUCCAGUGGUCAGCACAGAUGGUACCCCAGAGUCCAUUGAAGUACAGCUCCACACUACUGUCUUCAGCCAGCCGCACAGCACCUUCCAAAGGAGAAAAAAAAACAACCAAAAACCAGCUGCUAUCUGCUGAUAGAAGGUUCAGACCAGCAAGUCUUGGACUUUGCAUGUAGCUGAGCUGAACUGCACUUGGCUUCUUUCAUCCCUGUUUUACCUGUGCUGGCACUAAAGUGAUGUGCAUGAAAGAGUGUGGGAUGUGCACCUUCCCAGUUCCAGCAAUGGCUGCUUGGGAGGAUGGUUGUUAUUACGGUCUUUUCAAAUCCAUGGUAACACCAGCAGGAAAUUUGGCUUCUUCAAAAGCUUUUGGAUCCUCCUUCUGUGGAAUGGGGAUGAUUUUACAUGCUGUCUUCAAAGGGUGUGUAUAAAUCUAUCUAAUUACUUCUGAAACUCCACUGAUCUAUUUCCAUCAACCGCUUCACCUGCAUGACUCUGUUGCUACAGUGAGAUGUUCAGUAACAACAGAUGAAUCCUCUUUAAAUUCUCUAAGAAAAGGAAGUGCCAGUGUAAAUACCCUUUCAAUUCCCACCCCACUAAAAUUUUUACCACUGUUUAGAAAGCACAUCUCCUCACUCAGUUAUUUACUUGCAGAAGGACACACCUGUCUGCAGCACCUCAAUGCAGGCACACAGCACCACUACACUUAUAUUCUUCCCUUUAAUGAAGCCAUCUUUGAAAGCACAUCCACUAGCAAGGGAAAAGACUAUAAAUUCAUUUAUUAAACUGAUGUUUCAACUGUUCUGCAAAAUGCAGGAAAAGUAAGGAAGGUCAGAAAACAGGACAUUUUCAAGAAUGCUGCACAGCAGCCAAUCCAUUGAGAUUGCUCAGCUCCUUGCUUGCCUCAAAGUAAACAGUAGUCCUUCUGUCAGCACGGAGGAAAUUUAACACAAGCCUAUGACCUGCCUUGCCACAGAAGAUUUUAUAUUAAAGAAGUUUAUAUUUGAAGUGCUACAGUUACAUGAGGAAUGCUCUGAUGUGGACCCUAAAGGAGCAGAAGUGGGUUGGUUUCUACAUAACUGAAACUGUUUCCAAAGUGGCAUAAGUUAGCAGUAGAAAAAAAGAAGUCUGCUUGUAUGAGAAUAAAACAUCUAUACAAGGCAUUACAGCUACAGCAGCUUAAAUCCACCCCCUACUAUAUACAGACGUUCUUCUCCCACACAGGCUAGCCUCUAGUAUUAAUUAUUUCAACAAUUUGGAACAGUCUUUGUACAGUGCUUUUUUCACAGGGUGUUCCACCUGCCACUUGCAAGUCUGUGCAGCACACACGGCUGGCUUGAGCCCUGAGGCAGCACAGCCCUUACCUUGGUUACAGUCACAGUUGGCCCAGCCGAUGGCCCCUGACACAAGCCUGUAGAAGCACCAGGGCGUCGUUCCCCCGUCUGGGUUCCUGCAGAAGUUGUGGUCCCCCAGGCCGCGGUCUGGGUACUGCUGAACGUAAUCAGGGAACUCUGCCCAGCUGAGACACUGUGCCCCGGCCUCGGUGACCGCCAGCGAGCCGUUGUAGUACCCGAGAGGGCCCACAGCACACACGCUGGGCGCUGGGCACAGGAAGGGAGGGUUAGCAUCACCUAAGGCACCACACCAAAGCUCAGACAACAUGGGACACAACAUGGUUAUGAGAAAUACCCCUGGUGUCUGCAGUCUCAGCUGCUGCUUGCUUGAUUCAAACUCUAUCGCUCUUCAAGGUGCUACUCAAAGAAUAUUCAUAAUACUCACUGUCUAAACCACAAAUUGAUCUGAACCAAUGAACUGACUAGACAGACCUUUGAAGAGUGUUAACUUAGGGCCCAAAUGUGACAAUUUGAACUGGUUCCCAUUACUGUACAUGCAAUACAUGUACUCACUUUGGAGCAGAACUGUACAAAGCAGGAAGGUGGGAAAUGACACUAUAUUUCAUUGCAUGUAUGUUCCCUAAUACACAUGAGCAGAUCACUGACUUAUCUGAGCUUGGCUAAUAUAUUGGAAGAGAAAGGGAAUUUAUUUUGUGGGAAGUGCAGGUACCAAUGUUUCAGUGCCCAUGUAAAAUAUCCAGUGUAGAAAUACCCAAUAAUUAAUUUAUUAUGGUCCUUAACAAAGGAGAAAACUCUCCAUUCAUGGCACUGAAAUAACGAAGUGGGAAAAAAACACCCAGGUUUUGUGGACUUUAUAGAGUCCAUAACAUGGGAAGGGUAGACUGAGAAAGAGACUUUUACAGCUCUAUUCACUAAGUAAACAGAAAGAAGCCAACACUUUCAGAAAACCCUUCUGCACCUGGGGCAAAGAGCAAGGGUACAAAGUAAUUUUGCAUCAUGGCAUUUGCCUUCUAGCCACAGUCAGGCCCAGAGGGGGUAAGUGACAGCUGAAGGUCAAAUGCAAGGCACAAAAAUGAGAAGAAGUUGGAAGUCAAUGCCUGGCAAACAAAUCAUAUGUGUGGCAUCAAUUGGGACCCUCAGAGAGGGUGUCUGAGAAUUCAGUAGUUAUUAGAGCAGAGAAAAGGUAAGCAUGCAAAAAAGAACAAGGCAAAGAAAGAGAUUAAAUGAAAAGAACAUGUGGGAGGAGCAGGGAGCUGCAAGAGCAUUCAACAUGAAGGAACAGAUGUAGUCUGGCAAUGUUGGUGGAGAUAAACAGGCAUUGGGACAAGAGAAAAGAUUGAAGAAGUGAUGAAGAGAAAGGAAGAAGGCCAGGUAGCAGUGGUUUAUCGUGCCUAUGGUCUCAGAUCACCACUGGAGGAAAGAGCCUGCCCAAUGACUGAAUUAAUAAUUUCUUGUUCUUACCUGCACUCUGCAAGUGGUUUUGGUUGGGCUUGGAUCCCAGGAAAGCCUGGGAAAAGAAACAGCAAAAGCAGAGAUGAUUAUCCAAUGAAAUAAACAUGGGCAUGUCCUAAAAGCAGCUCAGCUUCAGGCAAACACACCCCAGUAACCAGUCUCUCCCCUGGUCUCCCCAUUGCUCCUCUUCAAAUACAAUCAUAGCUCGGUCCACUUGCAACAAAAUUAAUAGCUGCUGGCCUGCAGAGAUUUACCCUUGAUCUAAGCACUGCAUUACUGGGCUCUGCUUGAUUUUUUAUCAACAGAGUUGGAAGUCUGAGUGAUAUGCCUAUGUAAAGGAAAUCUAGAGGAAAAUCAUUAUUAUCAGUAAGAAAAAUAAUAACUACUCAUUCUCUCACUGUUUAUAGGGCAAGUCAUCUACAGCUAUAGUAGCAGAUAUUUAUCUACUUGAGUGACAGGAUGAUGCCCUGAGAAUACCUGUUAAAAUGGUAAUAAACAUCCAUGUAUAAAGUGGGAAACAUCCAAGGAAGAAAAUCCAAGCCUUUUGAGGAUUUUGUUUUUAAUACUUGAAAAUAUGAUAUGGCCUAUGGUGUUAUUAUCGAAAUGGGGUUAAAAAGCCAAGACCAAAAAAUAUGAAACAAAGUCCUCAGAAUUCUAGCAUCCUGUCUGGCCCCAAAACUGCAUUUCCUCUUACAGACAGGUCUUUUUGUGGUUGUAAUGGGACUGUAGGCUGACAGAUAGAGAUCUGCACUCAACAUCGCUACAUGAUGGGCAAGCAAGUAUAAGACCUUCACAGACUCAGAGUGAAAAGAAGAAACUGUACAUGCUUCUGCUAGCUCCUUGUAGUUUAAUUUGUUUCAAAACAUUCUAAAUGAACAUUUCUAAUACUUUAAUAUGAAGAAAGAGUUGUAAUUCACAGAGCAGAGAUGUGCAGCUAAAGGAUACUAGCUAUUGGUAAUGGUUGUGGUUUUCUUCAAAAUGCAGUAAUUUUGCCUCUCUCAGUUUCACCUCUUCCUGGAAAAUAGGAACAGUUAAAUUUGGAAUUAAACCAAAUCCACUUCUGGAAUUAGCAGAGGUAAUUCCCACAGAAGCCUGACAAGAACAACACCUAUUCAUGUCAGAUAUAAUUUUCAAAUCAAGCUUGUGAAUGUGAUCCAGAAGGUGCUGACAACCAUGGCCAACCUCCAGCAUCACUUCCCAGAAGUCAGAAUGGAUACUGCAUAUGGAAGACGAACUCCUGACACAGUUCAGUAGUAGCAGAUCAGAUCUCAGGUUCAUAUGUGCAAGAGAUACACAGAAAAACCCUUUUCAGGCAAAAAAUUCAUCUAUCUGCAUGUAUCAGGCUGUUGCAAGCCCACAUAAGGGUUUCUGGACCAACUACACUGAAGGACUUACCUGAGGAUCUGAAAGCUAUUUGCAGAGAGUAGAAAGUGAGCUAAGCUGCACUUUUGUGACUGCACCACAAUCCAGGUCCCUCAGUCCCUAGCUUUUAGUGCACACCUGCAGACACAUGUAAGCCUGCCAGUGAUACAAGGAUGGGUCAGACUAAUAACAGGAUAUAUAUGAGAGACUGAACCUGCUCUUCUUGGACCAUAAACAAAAGUACUUCGGUCCAAGUAAUUAACUUCCCUUCUAAUGAAAAAUUAGUUUCUGUCAGUUUCUGUAGCAGCUUCCAAAAUACCCCAACGCUGACCAUCGCCACCAAUUAAAUUCAGUGCAAACAGCCUAUGCUGCAGGCAUUGUCCCAGGUCUGUGCAGCUAUAAAUCAUCUGUCCACAAGCAAGACAGACAAUCAGCAAAGAACAGAAAUAAAGGAUCUUUCCUGCCAAGGUCACCGCAGUGCCUGAGAAACACUGGAAACCCAAGCCAAAGCAUCUGCAAGCCCUUGUGUAUUCUGCUUUCCUGGUUUAUUUCUUUUUCUGAAGUUACAUGCACAAUGAAACAAAUCUCUCCCCAAGCCCCCAGUCCUUCCCAGAGACCACAGCUGCCUAAAUGCUCUAAGAAACAUAUUUAAGUAAUAACAAGAUCCACUUACAGUGAGGAUAUUAAAAGAGCCAUGUGACUUACAAGCAGAUAGAAAACCAACCUUUUCUUACCUCCACACAUCUGAGACAGGAUAGCAGACUUGAGAGCUCUACCAGGAGCCCGAGUAUUUUGGAGAUUUCCAUCCCUCGUACAAAGUGAGCAGAAGGUUCUUCAAGCAUCACAUUCUCGUUCAGCUGCCAGGCUCUGCUUUCCCCCGCUAGCCGCUCCGCACCGGGGGGAGCGGGCUGCCUUUUCCAUUUCUGCGCAGGGAAAGGGAUGUGAGGAAAGGGAUCAAAGUUCCCCGCAGCAUCUUAGAAUUUCACUUUCCCGUUCCUCUCCCCAUCUCUUCCCAUUAAUUCUUCUCUUCAGAAAGGGGAAGAAGAGAGGAGAGAAAUAAGGGAACAGAACGUGUCCCCGAAUUUCGCUAGCACACUGGAAGACGGGCGGAGGCGAGCACAAGCGGUGGGGCACAGCCCUCAGCCCUCUCCUCACGCCGCUGUCCCCUCCUCUCCACAGCCUGCCGUGCUCCAGGUACGCGCUGCUCGCAGCGCCAGCCUCCGCCUCCCCGCCCCUUGUGCCCGGCGGCGGGGCCAGCGCCCGCUCCGCUCCUCUCCUCUCCUGCAAGGCUCCUUCCCCAGCUGCCUUUCCCCCUCUUCCCAAGGCACAGAGGCUGCAGCACGGCAAGGAGCUGGGGCUGCGUCCUAUUGCAAAGCCCCCAGCAACAACUGGGAAAGGCAACGGCGUGUGCGCGUACAUUUGCCAGAGAUUAGACUUCUUGGAAGGAAUCUGGACUUUAUCCCCCCCACCGCUGCCUCCUCGAUUAGCAGCUUGCAGCUUCCCGAGGUCAGCUCUCCUCAGAUUUGAACCCAGGUAUCAGCCUGGGACUCCAGAGGACUCAGCUCCAGCAAACUCCACAGCCACCCAUGGGUAACCACACAGUACGUGAGUGCCUGACUCUCCUCUUAUUCUGCUUCUACACACCCAAAAGAAUUACUGAUAUAAAUGGUUCUAACAUCAGUUCUCCAAGACACUGCAUUUUUCAACCCAAUCAGGUACUGUUCCCAAGAACCUGCCUGCAGUUUUGUGGCACUGCAGUGGAAACCACCCCUCUCUCCCCACAAUCAAAACUAGAAAUGAAUUAAAUUAUUUCAAUUAUCAAUCCAUGCUUUAACUUUCUCUCCCCCUUUUAGUUUGUUUUUUUUUUUUAACCAAAAAACAAUGAAACAUUUUGUUGUAGAUUGAGUUGCCCAAGUCAAACACCAGUCUUGCUUUAUUACAGUACAGACAAAAUAAUCAAACUUAUGUGGCACCAUACUUGUCCCACCUGCAAAUCACAAGCUAAAUCACAAGCUUCCAUGUUAAAGUUAUAUUUGAUACUUACCAAUGUAUUAUGCAUGAACAAGGUAUUUUGCUGGAGAUUUUUUGUAAAUUUUACAGCCUUUUUUUUACAGCAGUGGAAAUUUAAAAAAUUUCAAGAGGCACCAGAUUGUGAAUACACUCAUGUAAGAGUAUGAACCAUCAUACCAUCAAUUACUACUAUCAUUACUAAUUUUAGCUUGGCUCAGUGUUUGAG